rnacentral:rRNA from 1 species
GGCUCAGGAUGAACGCUAGCGGCAGGCUUAACACAUGCAAGUCGAGGGGCAGCAUGAAGGUUAGCAAUAACCUUUGAUGGCGACCGGCGCAAGGGUGCGUAACGCGUGAGCAACUUGCCCGUUCAGGGGGAUAACCGGUGGAAACGCCGACUAAUACCCCAUGGCAUCAUUGGGAGGCAUCUCCUUCAUGAUUAAAGAAUUUCGGAAACGGAUAGGCUCGCGUGACAUUAGCUAGAUGGCGGGGUAACGGCCCACCAUGGCGACGAUGUCUAGGGGUUCUGAGAGGAAGGUCCCCCACACUGGAACUGAGACACGGUCCAGACUCCUACGGGAGGCAGCAGUGAGGAAUAUUGGUCAAUGGCCGGGAGGCUGAACCAGCCAUGCCGCGUGAAGGUCACGGCCCUAUGGGUCUUAAACUUCUUUUGUAAGGGAGCAAUAAGGAUCACGUGUGGUCCGAUGAGAGUACCUUACGAAUAAGCAUCGGCUAACUCCGUG